AUGCUUGUGAAGACAAACCUGAUGCAAACUCGUUUGACGCAAGUGUUUACUCGUGAUGCAGUUAAGGAGAAGAAAGUUGUUUUGCAGAGGAAGAUGUCAGAUCAAAAUCCUGAUGGCACACCGAGGCGUAGCCCACGUGUGAAAGCUGGUUCCCAACCUGGUAAUAGCAAAGCUGAUGGGAAUAGUGUUGUUGUGAAGAUUGGUCCAAGCAAACUUGGUGGCUCCCCUGUUCGUGGGAGUCCACGGGUUUUGACAAAUAAGAAGCCUUCUUCCUCUCCUGUUCUAGAGCGCUCUUUGUUGAAAGAAAAUAAUAAGCGUAAAGUUCAUCCUGCGAAGGUGAACAAAGGUGUGAAGAAGCAUGCUCGUGUCGAAGAUGAAGAUGUUGUAUUUGAAGAAGAUGAUAUCGAAGUUGAUUCUGAAGAUGAAUUUGAAGUGCCUGUUAGCGUUAUGAGUCCAAUCAAGCCGGUGGGAGGCAAUAACGGAAAAGUUGCCUUGGAUGAAGGUGACCAACGGAAAUUGAACUUAACUAUGCGAUGUUCGUUGGGAGAGGUUGAAGCUUGUGUUAAAUUGCUUGAGUGGAGGGUGAAGUCUAACAUUUCCCUCCCUCUGAUGGGAGCUUUGUACAUGAGGAUAGAUCCUGAUACGAUGACUCUUGACAUGGGUGAGGCUAAUAAGAAGCUUCGCAUCACUAGCGAUGGUAUACAACAAUUAUUUGGGUUCCCUCGUGGUGGUCGUUCUGCGCCAAGGCCAUCAGAGGACGGAUAUGACGAUGCUCUGGUGAAGUUAUGA
rnacentral:rRNA from 1 species